UACGAAGGGUGCAAACGUUGCUCGGAAUUAUUGGGCGUAAAGCGCACGUAGGCGGCUUUGCAAGUCCCAUGUGAAAUCCCACGGCUCAACCGUGGAAGUGCAUGGGAAACUGCAGAGCUUGAGUACUUAAGAGGAUCGCGGAAUUCCCGGUGUAGAGGCGAAAUUCGUAGAUAUCGGGAGGAACACCAGUGGCGAAGGCGGCGAUCUGGGAAGAUACUGACGCUGAGGUGCGAAAGCGUGGGGAGCAAACAGG
rnacentral:rRNA from 1 species